GUCGCUACCUGCACACAAAACGACGAUUCGUCAGAAUACACGUGAAAACAUAAUAAAAAAAAUAUACAUACGAAUAGACGAGAUUCGAAAAAACGUAUAGUUGUGGAAUACGUGUGGCUUAUACAUCACUACUUGACCAUAAAUCGUUCGCUAUUGUUGGUCACACUAAAUUCUCAAACGAGCAAAAAUUGAAUUUAGCAUUGAACAAAUUAUGUGAAGCCUCGAGGGUUACAUUACUUAAAAGUCAAAGAAAAAUAUUCAUCAAAAUAGGAUGGAAAACUUAUAUAACCACCAACAAAACCACUAAUCGUGUAAACAGUGUAUAUAGGAUCAAAAAUAGCACACAAUGACGCUUAAAUAUGCUUAAAUAUGCAGUCCAUCCGAGUAUGAAGGUUAUCUAAUUAAAAAUAUAAAUACAAUUAGUCAUCAAAAAGUGCAUUGUAUAAGUGUUACUUCUUGUUGAACAUUAUUUUAGUUGUAUUUAAAUUUCUUAAUGUACAUUUUUAAAGACUGCAGUUUUGUCAUAUUGAC